AUAUCUACCUAUCGUCGGAAUACCGUGAUCAUGCAGGCGGUUCCCCCGGGGUGCGGCUGCUCCUUUGCACUGCGGAGUGGUUGACCCUUGCGAUUUUUUUUAUAUUUUAUAAUUAUAAGUUUCACUUCUACCGUGUGUGACUUGCACACACACACA